UUUAUGGAGAGUUUGAUCCUGGCUCAGGAUGAACGCUGGCGGCGUGCCUAAUACAUGCAAGUCGAGCGAACGGACGAGAAGCUUGCUUCUCUGAUGUUAGCGGCGGACGGGUGAGUAACACGUGGAUAACCUACCUAUAAGACUGGGAUAACUUCGGGAAACCGGAGCUAAUACCGGAUAAUAUUUUGAACCGCAUGGUUCAAAAGUGAAAGACGGUCUUGCUGUCACUUAUAGAUGGAUCCGCGCUGCAUUAGCUAGUUGGUAAGGUAACGGCUUACCAAGGCAACGAUGCAUAGCCGACCUGAGAGGGUGAUCGGCCACACUGGAACUGAGACACGGUCCAGACUCCUACGGGAGGCAGCAGUAGGGAAUCUUCCGCAAUGGGCGAAAGCCUGACGGAGCAACGCCGCGUGAGUGAUGAAGGUCUUCGGAUCGUAAAACUCUGUUAUUAGGGAAGAACAUAUGUGUAAGUAACUGUGCACAUCUUGACGGUACCUAAUCAGAAAGCCACGGCUAACUACGUGCCAGCAGCCGCGGUAAUACGUAGGUGGCAAGCGUUAUCCGGAAUUAUUGGGCGUAAAGCGCGCGUAGGCGGUUUUUUAAGUCUGAUGUGAAAGCCCACGGCUCAACCGUGGAGGGUCAUUGGAAACUGGAAAACUUGAGUGCAGAAGAGGAAAGUGGAAUUCCAUGUGUAGCGGUGAAAUGCGCAGAGAUAUGGAGGAACACCAGUGGCGAAGGCGACUUUCUGGUCUGUAACUGACGCUGAUGUGCGAAAGCGUGGGGAUCAAACAGGAUUAGAUACCCUGGUAGUCCACGCCGUAAACGAUGAGUGCUAAGUGUUAGGGGGUUUCCGCCCCUUAGUGCUGCAGCUAACGCAUUAAGCACUCCGCCUGGGGAGUACGACCGCAAGGUUGAAACUCAAAGGAAUUGACGGGGACCCGCACAAGCGGUGGAGCAUGUGGUUUAAUUCGAAGCAACGCGAAGAACCUUACCAAAUCUUGACAUCCUUUGACAACUCUAGAGAUAGAGCCUUCCCCUUCGGGGGACAAAGUGACAGGUGGUGCAUGGUUGUCGUCAGCUCGUGUCGUGAGAUGUUGGGUUAAGUCCCGCAACGAGCGCAACCCUUAAGCUUAGUUGCCAUCAUUAAGUUGGGCACUCUAAGUUGACUGCCGGUGACAAACCGGAGGAAGGUGGGGAUGACGUCAAAUCAUCAUGCCCCUUAUGAUUUGGGCUACACACGUGCUACAAUGGACAAUACAAAGGGCAGCGAAACCGCGAGGUCAAGCAAAUCCCAUAAAGUUGCUCUCAGUUCGGAUUGUAGUCUGCAACUCGACUACAUGAAGCUGGAAUCGCUAGUAAUCGUAGAUCAGCAUGCUACGGUGAAUACGUUCCCGGGUCUUGUACACACCGCCCGUCACACCACGAGAGUUUGUAACACCCGAAGCCGGUGGAGUAACCUUUUAGGAGCUAGCCGUCGAAGGUGGGACAAAUGAUUGGGGUGAAGUCGUAACAAGGUAGCCGUAUCGGAAGGUGCGGCUGGAUCACCUCCUUUCU
rnacentral:rRNA from 1 species